rnacentral:rRNA from 1 species
AAAUUGAAGAGUUUGAUCAUGGCUCAGAUUGAACGCUGGCGGCAGGCCUAACACAUGCAAGUCGAGCGGAAACGAGUUGUCUGAACCUUCGGGGAACGAUAACGGCGUCGAGCGGCGGACGGGUGAGUAAUGCCUAGGAAAUUGCCCUG